ACUAAGUGAGCUACUCUAGGACAGCUUAAUGAGCCAACCCGUCUCUGUUGCAAAAGGGUGGGAAGAUCUUAGAGUAGAAAUAAUAUAUCUAGCGAACUUAGCGAUAGCUGGUUAUUCAGGAAAAGAAUUUUAGUUCGACCUGAACCUACAACAAUACCUAAAAAUAUAAACCUAGCUUCAGAGUAAAUCAUAUAGGUAACAGCCUAUCUGAAACAGGAUACAGCCUCCACCUAUGGGUAAUGUUAUAUUU
rnacentral:rRNA from 1 species